UAAUUUCAUAUGAAUCAACGGAAACAUAAUUUUGCACAAUUGUAUUGCACAAUUUCAUGUAACAUCAUAAAAGUAUUGAAUAUUGGGAUAGAGCAAAAGAAUAAAAAUUGCAUAAUAAUUUUCUUAAACAGCGAAAAGAAAAUUUACCCUCUUAAUCUCUCACGUUUCACCGAAAAAUCCAAAUCCAAUUCGUUAAAAUUCAAACAAUUCUCAACAAUUCAUUCUAACAAAUUCAUUUAAUAAUUCGAGAUUAAAAUCACCUCUCCAUGUCCAAAAUCAUCGUGAUCGAUAAAAAUUCCCCAUGAAUUUUAAAAAUGGGGGGAAAACGGCGAUUCAAAAAGAGCGAGAAAUAAAAGGAAUGGGGGGGGAGGGGGAAUUUAAAUAGGCUUGGGUCGAGGCUUGUUGGCAUAAUCGAUAUCACGGUUGCAAGCCGGUGUGAUUAAUUAGCAGCGGAAACGUGGCGACGUGGAGGUCAAAGGUAAGACUUCCGGGGGGGAGGGGGGAAGCGGCGAAGGAAAGCCUCGUAGACGAUGCAGCGACUGUGGUUCAGGGCAGCGACCCAAUUCUCAUGUGUAUUUAUACCUAGAAGACGCUAUGCCGGCUGCGUGUGGCCAUUUUCGAGUGGGGAGAGGGAGAGAGAGAGACGCGGGGCGGGCCGAUGAAAGACAGGGAGGAAAGAGAACCGUCUCGUGCGUCACGAGACACGGCACGGUGUCUAAUGAAUUUGGAAAUUUAAUUCCGACCGAUUCGACCGGGGACAGCGCGGCAUGAAACCGGUUGGUCACUGAGUAAUUUCGACACCACGGGAUUAUUUAUAGACGAGCAAUAAGUAAUAAAGAAGAUUUUUAACCUUCCGUAGUUAGAUGCGUCUGGAGAGUGAUUCAAGUAAUCAGUUUGGGGGUUCCCAACUUGUAUUUAAAAUUGAGGGAGAUAUUUGGGUAAGGCAGUAGAUGGAGCUAUUAAAAUAUAUAUAUUUUCCUAGAUGCGUCUGGAGAGUGAUUCAAGUAAUCAGUUUGGGGGUUCCCAACUUGUAUUUAAAAUUGAGGGAGUUAUUUGGGUAGUAGACGGAGCUAUUAAAAUAUAUAUGUGUCUGGAGAGUGAUUCGAAUGAUUAGUUUUCUAACUUGGUCUAGGGAGUUCUAGAAUCGAGGGAGUUAUUGUUGGUUAGAUUGUUAAUAGAUGGCGCCAUUAAAAUAUGGAUAAUUUCAUUAGAAUAAUUAAUUUAGAAGUCUAGAGAAUUUUAAGCAAUUUUAGGAAGAUUAAUAUUUUUAUAAUUGGUAGAUGGUGAUAUUAAAAUAUAGAUAAGUUGAAUUUAAAUUGAAUUUUUAAUUUAUAAGCGAUCUAGGGAAUUUUAAUUUGUUACUAUUCGUAUAAAAUGAUGGUUAUGUUAAAGUAUGGAUAAGUUGAAUUUAAUUUAAAUGUUUAUAUAAUUUAUAAAUGAU